CUAAACAUCGAUGCGGUGAUUUAUACAUUCAGAUUUUAUCCAAAUAUAAGACUGCAAUUAAUACACAUCAAGCACACUAAAAGCAGAAGCAUUGAUUUAGUCUCGGAAGUCUAGUCUCUUAAAUUUCUUGAUGUAAAAGCUCAUUAGUUUCUGUUUAUCUAUGUUUGGUAUAUGUAGCUUUCUGAUUAUCAUGAAGUUGUCACGAAUCAAGUGGAUUACAGAUGAAAUUAGUGAUGAAGCUUAUUCCAGUUUGAACAAUUUGAGGCACUUCUUUUACUUAGACAACUCCUCAAUGCUUAGCACUGGACUUUCUGUGCAGGCACAGCAACACAAGAACUUGCGAAAAAGAACUUCAAGAAUUUAAGAGAAGAAAGUAAUCAUGAAAAACCUCAAAACAAACAACAAGAGCAGGCAGGAUUUGCCAGGAGAGGCCGUCCGUGCAAGAAACAGCCUGAAUCAUCUUCGAUAGGCCGUACUAUUUCUGAAAUUUCAGCUGAUGCACUCAAUCCGCGAGGAGAUAGUUCUAAUAAAAAAUAAUUAUGCUUACAUCAAACUGUCAAUAAUUUUUUUUUUCUUUGUAUAAAACAAUAUAUACAAACCUGUCAUAUUUGUUAUAUGUCGUUGAGGAAUUUAAAAGGCUACAAUCUCCAUUGAGAAAACAA